GCGUACUGGCUGUGGGAUGGGAAGUGAAGCCCCAGCGAGCGGCUGCAGCGGGGCCGUGAGGAGCAGCCAGCGGGAGGCGGCGGCGAGUCGAUAACGGCAAAAGCUUCUAUCAUUUUUGUUACUCUUCAGUACAAUGUCACCCUCCCAGCAACAGAAGAACAAGCUACUGAAUCAGUGUCCCUUUAUUACUAUGGCAUCAAAGAUUUGGCUACCGUUUUCUUCUACAUGCUAGUGGCGAUAAUUAUUCAUGCCGUAAUUCAAGAGUAUAUGUUGGAUAAAAUUAACAGGCGAAUGCACUUCUCCAAAACAAAACACAGCAAGUUUAAUGAAUCUGGUCAGCUUAGUGCGUUCUACCUUUUUGCCUGUGUUUGGGGCACAUUCAUUCUCAUCUCUGAAAACUACAUCUCUGACCCAACUAUCUUAUGGAGGGCUUAUCCCCAUAACCUGAUGACAUUUCAAAUGAAGUUUUUCUACAUAUCACAGCUGGCUUACUGGCUUCAUGCUUUUCCUGAACUCUACUUCCAGAAAACCAAAAAAGUAAG
rnacentral:sRNA from 1 species